GGGCACUUGGCACAGGGGUAGCGCGCACGCUUCGCAUCGUCGUAGGAUUUCGAAUGCGUGAGGUCGUGGGUUCAAAUCCCACAGUGUCCA